GGUCGUUUAGCUCAGUUGGUUAGAGCGCUACAUUCACAUUGUAGAAGUCACUGGUUCGAGUCCAGUAACGACCACCA
rnacentral:tRNA from 2 species